rnacentral:rRNA from 1 species
AUUGAACGCUGGCGGCAUGCUUUACACAUGCAAGUCGAACGGCAGCGCGGGCUUCGGCCUGGCGGCGAGUGGCGAACGGGUGAGUAAUACAUCGGAACGUGCCCAGUAGUGGGGGAUAGCUCGGCGAAAGCCGGAUUAAUACCGCAUACGACCUGAGGGUGAAAGCGGGGGAUCUUCGGACCUCGCGCUAUUGGAGCGGCCGAUGGCAGAUUAGCUAGUUGGUGGGGUAAAGGCCUACCAAGGCGACGAUCGGUAGCUGGUCUGAGAGGACGACCAGCCACACUGGGACUGAGCCACGGCCCAGACUCCUACGGGAGGCAGCAGUGGGGAAUUUUGGACAAUGGGCGAAAGCCUGAUCCAGCAAUGCCGCGUGUGUGAUGAAGGCCUUCGGGUUGUAAAGCACUUUUGGCGGGAACGAAAAGGACUGUGCCAAUACCACGGUUCGAUGACGGUACCCGCAGAAUAAGCACCGGCUAACUACGUG